AGAGUUUGAUCCUGGCUCAGGAUGAACGCUGGCGGCAUGCCUAACACAUGCAAGUCGAACGGAGUUUCUUAUUUGGAGUCCUUCGGGACAAAGAAUUUGAAACUUAGUGGCGGACGGGUGAGUAACGCGUGGAUAACCUGCCCUUUUGUGGGGAACAACAUCGAGAAAUUGAUGCUAAUACCGCAUACGCUGAAAGAAUCGCAUGAUUUUUUCAGGAAAGAUGGCCUCUGAAUAUGCUAUCGCAAAAGGAUGGAUCCGCGUCUGAUUAGCUAGUUGGUGAGGUAACGGCUCACCAAGGCAACGAUCAGUAGCCGGCCUGAGAGGGUGAACGGCCACAUUGGGACUGAGACACGGCCCAAACUCCUACGGGAGGCAGCAGUGGGGAAUCUUCCGCAAUGGGCGAAAGCCUGACGGAGCAAUGCCGCGUGAGUGAAGAAGGCCUUCGGGUUGUAAAACUCUGUCCUUAUUGAAGAGAGGUAAUAGUGUGAACAAUGCUAUUAUAGGACGGUAAAUAAGGAGGAAGCCCCGGCUAACUACGUGCCAGCAGCCGCGGUAAUACGUAGGGGGCGAGCGUUGCCCGGAAUCACUGGGCGUAAAGGGCGCGUAGGCGGUUUCAUAAGUCACUAGUGAAAACUGAGGGCUCAACCUUCAGCCUGCUAGUGAUACUGUGAGACUUGAGUAUGGAAGAGGAGUAUGGAAUUCCUAGUGUAGCGGUGAAAUGCGUAGAUAUUAGGAGGAACACCAGUGGCGAAGGCGAUACUCUGGGCCAAGACUGACGCUGAGGCGCGAAAGUGUGGGGAGCAAACAGGAUUAGAUACCCUGGUAGUCCACACCGUAAACGA
rnacentral:rRNA from 1 species